rnacentral:misc_RNA from 1 species
GACAGAGGUCCCAAGCGUUAGGCGGAAUCACUGGGCUUAAAGCGUGUGUAGGUGGAUGGGUAAGUGCUUUGUGAAAUCCCACGGCUUAACCGUGGAACUGCUUGGCAUACUGCUUAUCUUGAGCCACUUAGGGGCUACCGGAACAAAUGGUGGAGCGGUGAAAUGCGUAGAUAUCAUUUGGAACGCCAAUGGUGAAAACAGGUAGCUGGAGGUGUGCUGACACUGAGACACGAAAGCCAGGGGAGCAAACGGG